UCGUACUUUGCAGUCAUUGGCGACGCCGUGACGGUGAAUGUGAAAAACUGCGUCACGGACAUCACGCCGGCGCUCAGCACAUCGCAGGUCGCCAUCGUGGCUAUCCUGGCGACCAUUCUCAGCCUCAUGUUGGCCGCUACCUUUGUGGACGCGUACGCAUCCGAUGACGCAAAGAAGAACGUGGCCGUGAAUGUCCUGAUGUGCUUCUCCAUGCCGGCCAACCUGAGGCUGCUGGCGUCCACGCCCGAGAAGACGUCGAGCGCUUACAACCUGCGCUUCCUGCACGGCAUCCGUGCCGUCAGCAUCUACUACAUCGUCUUUGGGCACUCUACAACAGAGCUGGC